rnacentral:tRNA from 3 species
GGAGAGAUGGUCGAGUGGUUUAAGGCGCCGGUCUUGAAAACCGGAGAGGUGCAAGCCUCCGGGGGUUCGAAUCCCUCUCUCUCCGCCA